rnacentral:lncRNA from 1 species
UUAAAAAUAAAGAUUUGAGACUUCAAUUUUUGCAGAAAGUUAGAAAUACCUAUUCUGAUAUAGAUAAUAUGGAUGAUGUGGAUAAAUUGGUUUUAUGUCUUUCGUGUCCGUCAAUUAUGCAGUAUACGGCUCCAUUUGUUAAAAAGUCAUGGUCACUGAGGAGAGUGGACUCAACAACUGCAUGAUAGAUACUUAUAUGUAUAUAAUGUUUGUUCUUUUGUUGCUAUUUUUGUAUGAUGUAUUGUGUUCAUUUAUAUAUGCCUUCAACCCCAUUGGGGUAUAAAUGUGCAUUUAUUCAAUAAAC